GAGACAUCUCAGCUCCUACCAGUGGUCCUGGCAGGACACCUCCUACCUCCUCCUCCUCCUCGACCACAAACUCUCAGCUUUGCCUCACUUGAUGCACAGCGGCGCGAAGAAGUCCUAGAAGAAAUAAGACUCGGAAAGCAGUUGGCACCUACCAACGGAGGUCUUCUUCAUCUGUCCGGAGCUGAGAAAGUCCGCCCAAGUGCGAGCAGACGCACAGCUGCAGAGGGACAGUGGAUCCAGGACAGAGCUACAAAGACCGAGGACACCGCACAACGGGAAGCACUGCAUCGCUUCAUGAGUCCAAAUUCUGUCAUGAAUAUUCUGCAUCAAGGCUCUGAAGGAUGGGUCUUGGCUACAUGUUUGCCAUAUGCGUUGAAGCCGAGUCAGAUUGAGCCACAAAGGAAGACUGCUUUAAAGACUGCCUGAGCUUAAGGAUUAGGGAAAACUCUUAUUUAAAAUUCAAAUAUUAUUCAUAAAAUAAUUACAGCAGGUGCUGCAAUACAAUCUGGUUCGAUUAGUCCUCCGUGUUCGAAGCG
rnacentral:lncRNA from 1 species